AGUCACAGGGAUGAGGGGCUGCUCGGGCAGAACUCAGUCCAAAAAGACCCGCUUCAGGUUCUUCUCUAGAACAUGGUGGCUUUACCCCACUUAUCUUGGGACAGCAUCUACAAGUCCUUGAGGAGAAUGUGCCUGCUGUACUGUUGUGCAUCUUCCAAGACGUACUCAGCACCGUCAUGCUUCUAAGCCAACUUGUGUAAGAGCUCUCCUGCUCCCUCCGUGGCCACAUCCUCGCAGUGGAAACAGAAGCCCGAAGAGAGGUAAGGUGAUUUUGAAGUCUAGUUUGUGGAAAAUAAACAAAGGGAAAAUGCUAGAAAAACUGAAAAAACAAACAAUGAAGCUGUGGAAAGUCUCUGUAAUUUGAAGAGUGUGCAUGGAUAGACAGACCAUGAACAUGCAUUUUUGUGGACAAAA